rnacentral:misc_RNA from 1 species
AAAGUCGUAACAAGGUUUCCGUAGGUGAACCUGCGGAAGGAUCAUUACAAAUCCAACGUCUCCUUGCCGAGACCACGUUGAACUGUUCCCCGGCACACGCACGGGGCCCGGAGGCGCUUGCUUGCUUGCUUGCUCGCGCCCCCGGCCGCCCUGUGCCGCCGACCCCUUUACAACCUAGUGUGAUCGUUGCUGCAUAUGUAUGUAUUUUGUUAACACAACAACAAGAAACAACUUAUAACAAUGGAUCUCUAGGCUCUU